UGUUUCGGCUAGGGGGCCAUCCCGGCUUACCAACCCGAUGCAAACUGCGAAUACCGGAGAAUGUUAUCACGGGAGACACACGGCGGGUGCUAACGUCCGUCGUGAAGAGGGAAACAACCCAGACCGCCAGCUAAGGUCCCAAAGUCAUGGUUAAGUGGGAAACGAUGUGGGAAGGCCCAGACAGCCAGGAUGUUGGCUUAGAAGCAGCCAUCAUUUAAAGAAAGCGUAAUAGCUCACUGGUCGAGUCGGCCUGCGCGGAAGAUGUAACGGGGCUAAACCAUGCACCGAAGCUGCGGCAGCGACACUUUAGUGUUGUUGGGUAGGGGAGCGUUCUGUAAGCCGUUGAAGGUGUCCUGUGAGGGGUGCUGGAGGUAUCAGAAGUGCGAAUGCUGACAUAAGUAACGAUAAAGCGGGUGAAAAGCCCGCUCGCCGGAAGACCAAGGGUUCCUGUCCAACGUUAAUCGGGGCAGGGUGAGUCGACCCCUAAGGCGAGGCCGAAAGGCGUAGUCGAUGGGAAACGGGUUAAUAUUCCCGUACUUGGUGUUACUGCGAAGGGGGGACGGAGAAGGCUAUGUUGGCCGGGCGACGGUUGUCCCGGUUUAAGCGUGUAGGUGUGUGUUCCAGGUAAAUCCGGUUCACUUUAACACUGAGGCGUGAUGACGAGGCACCACGGUGCUGAAGCAACAAAUGCCCUGCUUCCAGGAAAAGCCUCUAAGCAUCAGGUAACAUCAAAUCGUACCCCAAACCGACACAGGUGGUCAGGUAGAGAAUACCAAGGCGCUUGAGAGAACUCGGGUGAAGGAACUAGGCAAAAUGGUGCCGUAACUUCGGGAGAAGGCACGCUGACACGUAGGUGAAGUGAUUUACUCAUGGAGCUGAAGUCAGUCGAAGAUACCAGCUGGCUGCAACUGUUUAUUAAAAACACAGCACUGUGCAAACACGAAAGUGGACGUAUACGGUGUGACGCCUGCCCGGUGCCGGAAGGUUAAUUGAUGGGGUCAGCGCAAGCGAAGCUCCUGAUCGAAGCCCCGGUAAACGGCGGCCGUAACUAUAACGGUCCUAAGGUAGCGAAAUUCCUUGUCGGGUAAGUUCCGACCUGCACGAAUGGCGUAAUGAUGGCCAGGCUGUCUCCACCCGAGACUCAGUGAAAUUGAACUCGCUGUGAAGAUGCAGUGUACCCGCGGCAAGACGGAAAGACCCCGUGAACCUUUACUAUAGCUUGACACUGAACAUUGAGCCUUGAUGUGUAGGAUAGGUGGGAGGCUUUGAAGCGUGGACGCCAGUCUGCGUGGAGCCGACCUUGAAAUACCACCCUUUAAUGUUUGAUGUUCUAACGUGGACCCGUAAUCCGGGUUGCGGACAGUGUCUGGUGGGUAGUUUGACUGGGGCGGUCUCCUCCUAAAGAGUAACGGAGGAGCACGAAGGUUGGCUAAUCCUGGUCGGACAUCAGGAGGUUAGUGCAAUGGCAUAAGCCAGCUUGACUGCGAGCGUGACGGCGCGAGCAGGUGCGAAAGCAGGUCAUAGUGAUCCGGUGGUUCUGAAUGGAAGGGCCAUCGCUCAACGGAUAAAAGGUACUCCGGGGAUAACAGGCUGAUACCGCCCAAGAGUUCAUAUCGACGGCGGUGUUUGGCACCUCGAUGUCGGCUCAUCACAUCCUGGGGCUGAAGUAGGUCCCAAGGGUAUGGCUGUUCGCCAUUUAAAGUGGUACGCGAGCUGGGUUUAGAACGUCGUG
rnacentral:rRNA from 1 species